CAGUAGCCACGGUAAUACGUAGGGCGCAAGCGUUAUCCGGAAUUAUUGGGCGUAAAGAGCUCGUAGGCGGUUUGUCGCGUCUGCCGUGAAAGUCCGGGGCUCAACCCCGGAUCUGCGGUGGGUACGGGCAGACUAGAGUGAUGUAGGGGAGACUGGAAUUCCUGGUGUAGCGGUGAAAUGCGCAGAUAUCAGGAGGAACACCGAUGGCGAAGGCAGGUCUCUGGGCAUUAACUGACGCUGAGGAGCGAAAGCAUGGGGAGCGAACAGGAUUAGAUACCCCUGUAGUCCCUGUCUCUUAUAA
rnacentral:rRNA from 1 species